rnacentral:rRNA from 1 species
GACGAACGCUGGCGGCGUGCCUAAUACAUGCAAGUCGAGCGAAUCACUGGGAGCUUGCUCCCGGUGGUUAGCGGCGGACGGGUGAGUAACACGUGGGCAACCUGCCUGUAAGACUGGGAUAACACCGGGAAACCGGUGCUAAUACCGGAUAAUCCUUUUCCUCUCAGGAGGGAAAGCUGAAAGUCGGUUUCGGCUGACACUUACAGAUGGGCCCGCGGCGCAUUAGCUAGUUGGUGAGGUAACGGCUCACCAAGGCGACGAUGCGUAGCCGACCUGAGAGGGUGAUCGGCCACACUGGGACUGAGACACGGCCCAGACUCCUACGGGAGGCAGCAGUAGGGAAUCUUCCACAAUGGACGAAAGUCUGAUGGAGCAACGCCGCGUGAGCGAUGAAGGCCUUCGGGUCGUAAAGCUCUGUUGUUAGGGAAGAACAAGUACCGGAGUAACUGCCGGUACCUUGACGGUACCUAACCAGAAAGCCACGGCUAACUACGUGCCAGCCGCCGCCGUAACAC